GACGAACGCUGGCGGCGUGCCUAACACAUGCAAGUCGAACGGGGCACCUUCGGGUGCUUAGUGGCGAACGGGUGAGUAACGCGUGAGAAACCUGCCUCUCAGUGGGGGACAACAGUUGGAAACGACUGCUAAUACCGCAUAAUGUUAUGGAAGGGCAUCCUUCUGAAACCAAAGCUUUAUGUGCUGAGAGAUGGUCUCGCGUCUGAUUAGCUAGAUGGCGGGGUAACGGCCCACCAUGGCGACGAUCAGUAGCCGGUCUGAGAGGAUGAACGGCCACAUUGGGACUGAGACACGGCCCAGACUCCUACGGGAGGCAGCAGUGGGGGAUAUUGCACAAUGGAGGAAACUCUGAUGCAGCAACGCCGCGUGAGGGAAGAAGGUUUUUCGGAUUGUAAACCUCUGUUUUUAGUGAAGAACAAAUGACGGUAGCUAAAGAGGAAGCCACGGCUAACUACGUG
rnacentral:rRNA from 1 species